ncrna:unclassified sequences PhotoRC-II RNA
CAUCCAAUGCAAACUGCUCUCAAACCGAGACCUAUAGGCAGUAUAAUACUUCGUCUCUAAUAUCCACUAGUGAAGGGAUUGGUGGAAAUAAAGUAUCGC